UGGGGAAUAUUGGACAAUGGGCGAAAGCCUGAUCCAGCAAUGCCGCGUGUGUGAAGAAGGUCUUCGGAUUGUAAAGCACUUUCGAUGGGGACGAUGAUGACGGUACCCGUAGAAGAAGCCCCGGCUAACUUCGUGCCAG
rnacentral:rRNA from 1 species